GACGCUGGCUUUGGUCGCUGCCUCACCGACGCCCAACACGCCUUCGCCGGCAUCCACCCCUAUCAGCUUGCGGACGCGUUCGCGCACCUCCGCUCGGCCCUCCGAGGCUCCCUCUCUAUCGUCCGCCGCUACGUGCUCUCACCGUCGCCGCGAGUUCGCGUAGACUCUGCGCUGCGAGCUGCUGGGCUGGAAGACGCUGGCAAGCUCUCGUGGGUUCAGUUCGAGGAGUUUGAUGUCGAGCUAUUCAGGGAGGCCGUGCUCGCCGGCACGUCUGAGGCGGCUCCAGCCUCCGUGGUUCCGCCACCAUCUCCAGUCCCCGACCAACGACGGGGAGGUGUUGCGCCGGGGUGUCAUCAUGAAGGAUUCGGAGCUCAAGCGUGGGUGCACCACACGAGGUGUUCGAGGAAAUGCCAAAAAAAGAUAGGAGGAGGAAGAGGAAUGACAUGUGGGUCCCACCUGUCAUAA
rnacentral:rRNA from 1 species